UACGUAGGGUGCAAGCGUUAAUCGGAAUUACUGGGCGUAAAGCGUGCACAGGCGGUUUUGUAAGUCUGUCGUGAAAUCCCCGGGCUCAACCUGGGAAUUGCGAUGGAGACUGCAAGGCUAAGAAUCUGGCAGAGGGGGGUAGAAUUCCACGUGUAGCAGUGAAAUGCGUAGAGAUGUGGAGGAACACCGAUGGCGAAGGCAGCCCCCUGGGUCAAGAUUGGACGCUCAUGCACGAAAGCGUGGGGAGCAAACAGG
rnacentral:rRNA from 1 species